ncrna:Eptesicus fuscus (big brown bat) microRNA efu-mir-9186j precursor
CAGGGGGAGGUGAGUGGCAUCACUGGUACUGAGGUAAUGGCUGCUCACAGUACCAGACAUGCCGCCCUCCUCCCCCUACA